rnacentral:rRNA from 1 species
AGCGUUCUAAGGGCGGUGAAGUCAGACCGGAAGGACUGGUGGAGCGCUUAGAAGUGAGAAUGCCGGUAUGAGUAGCGAAAGAAGGGUGAGAAUCCCUUCCACCGAAUAUCUAAGGUUUCCUGAGGAAGGCUCGUCCGCUCAGGGUUAGUCGGGACCUAAGCCGAGGCCGAUAGGCGUAGGCGAUGGACAACAGGUAGAGAUUCCUGUACCAGUGCUAAUUGUUUAACCGAUGGGGUGACACAGAAGGAUAGGGAAUCGCACGAAUGGAAAUGUGCGUCCAAGCAGUGAGUGUGAGAAGUAGGCAAAUCCGCUUCUCGCGAAGCAUGAGCUGUGAUGGGGAAGGAAAUUAAGUACGGAAGUUCCUGAUUUCACGCUGUCAAGAAAAGCCUCUAGGAAGAGUAGUACUGCCCGUACCGCAAACCGACACAGGUAGAUGAGGAGAGAAUCCUAAGGUGAGCGAGAGAACUCUCGUUAAGGAACUCGGCAAAAUGACCCCGUAACUUCGGGAGAAGGGGUGCUCUAUUAGGGUGCAAGCCCGAGAGAGCCGCAGUGAAUAGGCCCAGGCGACUGUUUAGCAAAAACACAGGUCUCUGCAAAACCGUAAGGUGACGUAUAGGGGCUGACGCCUGCCCGGUGCUGGAAGGUUAAGAGGAGUGCUUAGCUUCGGCGAAGGUACGAAUUGAAGCCCCAGUAAACGGCGGCCGUAACUAUAACGGUCCUAAGGUAGCGAAAUUCCUUGUCGGGUAAGUUCCGACCCGCACGAAAGGCGCAACGAUCUGGGCACUGUCUCAACGAGAGACUCGGUGAAAUUAUAGUACCUGUGAAGAUGCAGGUUACCCGCGACAGGACGGAAAGACCCCGUGGAGCUUUACUGCAACCUGAUAUGGAAUGUUUGUACCGCUUGUACAGGAUAGGUAGGAGCCGAAGAGACGUGUGCGCUAGCAUACGAGGAGGCAAUGGUGGGAUACUACCCUGGCUGUAUGACCAUUCUAACCCGCCACGCUUAGCGCGUGGGGAGACAGUGUCAGGUGGGCAGUUUGACUGGGGCGGUCGCCUCCUAAAGAGU